GGAGCGGGGGGAGCUGCAGAGGCUGCCGGAGGUGCCUGCGCCCAGCCCUGUCAGCGGCUGGCGCGGCUUGUGGCAGCCUUACCGGGCUGCCCGGGCCGGGUGUGUAGCUUGCAGGGAGCCGGUCUUGGCUGAAGAAGUUUUUCUCUUCAAUAACGCGGUCACAUCUUGGGGAUAAGAGCAGCGGAGCACUCGCGGCCUGCGGCGGCCCCGCUGCAGCUGCGGGCCCGGCGCUGCCCGCGGGGGGGGGAAACCCCCGGGGCGCUGGGCCCGGGGCCCGCGGGCGCUGUGGAGCCGCCGGCCACGGGGCGGCGCCGCGCGGCGGGGCCGGGGCCUCGUUCCGGGACCGGCACCGGCGGGGCCGCCGCGGCCGGGCAGGAGGCGCCGGGCCCGCUGCGGGGCGGCCUCGCGGCCCCGGGAGGCUGGGGGCGAGCAGCGGGAGCUGCCGGGACCCCGCGCGGUGGGGCUGGGCCCUGCGCCCCUCAGCGCCCCGCUCCCCGCUCCGCUGCUCCGUGCCCGGCCGUGCUGCAGCGGGGCUCCUGCCCGCGGCCCCCCGGCUCCUCCGCCUUGCUCCUCUCCAAGCCGAGAGGGCCGAUUGCUCCCCCCAGGCCUCGGGAGCCCCCCCCACCCCCCGGGUGCACCACCGGCCCCCACAGACCCGGCCCCGUUUGUUGGGCUCUCCCACAGCCGGGCAGCCCGGGCGCUGGCUGCUUCGGCUUCCCGGGCCGCGCAGUGGCACACAGCGUGGGAUCUGCCCCAGUCGGUGGAGCCUGCUGGUCAAGGGAAGUUUUUUAGCAGCUUUAUAUGCAGGAACGGAGUCAAGUUUUGUAGUUGAAUACAAAGUUGUUCUGAAAUAAAGACCUGUUCCCUGGAAGGAA